rnacentral:ncRNA from 1 species
GGGGCUUGUAUCUAAUUAGCUAGUUGGUGUUACCAAGGCCCAGACUGUGAGUGAGACACGACCCUGACUUGUAUGGGAGGCGGCAAUGGAACAUUUUCCACAAUGGGCGAAAGCCCGACGGAGCAAUGCCGCGUGGAGGUGUAAGGUCUACGGGUCGUCAACUUCUUUUCUAGGAGAAGAAACACUGACAAUAUUUGGGGAAUAAGCCCAAAGCA